rnacentral:rRNA from 1 species
GAUGAACGCUGGCGGCGUGCCUAAUACAUGCAAGUCGAGCGAACGGACGAGAAGCUUGCUUCUCUGAUGUUAGCGGCGGACGGGUGAGUAUCACGUGGAUAACCUACCUAUAAGACUGGGAUAACUUCGGGAAACCGGAGCUAAUACCGGAUGAUAUUUUGAACCGCAUGGUUCAAAAGUGAAAGACGGUCUUGCUGUCACUUAUAGAUGGAUCCGUGCUGCAUUAGCUAGUUGGUAAGGUAAUGGCUUACCAAGGCAACGAUGCAUAGCCGACCUGAGAGGGUGAUCGGCCACACUGGAACUGAGACACGGUCCAGACUCCUACGGGAGGCAGCAGUAGGGAAUCUUCCGCAAUGGGCGAAAGCCUGACGGAGCAACGCCGCGUGAGUGAUGAAGGUCUUCGGAUCGUAAAACUCUGUUAUUAGGGAAGAACAUAUGUGUAAGUAACUGUGCACAUCUUGACGGUACCUAAUCAGAAAGCCACGGCUAACUACGUG